rnacentral:rRNA from 1 species
UACGUAGGGUGCAAGCGUUAUCCGGAAUUAUUGGGCGUAAAGAGCUCGUAGGCGGUUUUGUCGCGUCUGCUGUGAAAAACUGGGGGCUCAACCCCCCAGCCUGCAGUGGGUACGGGCAGACUAGAGUGCGGUAGGGGGUGACUGGAAUUCCUGGUGUAGCGGUGGAAUGCGCAGAUAUCAGGAGGAACACCGGUGGCGAAGGCGGGUCUCUGGGCCGAUACUGACGCUGAGGAGCGAAAGCGUGGGGGAGCGAACAGG